UUGUCCUACGGGGGGCAGCAGUGAGGAAUAUUGGUCAAUGGGCGAGAGCCUGAACCAGCCAAGUCGCGUGAGGGAGUACUGCCCUAUGGGUUGUAAACCUCUUUUGUCGGGGAGCAAAAGCCGGACGUGUCCGGCUGUGAGAGUACCCGAAGAAAAAGCAUCGGCUAACUCCGUGCCAGCAGCCGCGGUAAUACGGAGGAUGCGAGCGUUAUCCGGAUUUAUUGGGUUUAAAGGGUGCGCAGGCGGCGAGUUAAGUCAGCGGUAAAAUUUCGGGGCUCAACCCCGACGAGCCGUUGAAAC
rnacentral:rRNA from 1 species